AGAGUUUGAUCCUGGCUCAGGAUGAACGCUGGCGGCGUGCUUAACACAUGCAAGUCGAACGGAAAGGCCUUUGUGCUUGCACAAGGUACUCGAGUGGCGAACGGGUGAGUAACACGUGGGUGAUCUGCCCUGCACUGUGGGAUAAGCCUGGGAAACUGGGUCUAAUACCAUAUAGGACCGCAUCUUGGAUGGUGUGGUGGAAAGCUUUUGCGGUGUGGGAUGAGCCUGCGGCCUAUCAGCUUGUUGGUGGGGUAAUGGCCUACCAAGGCGGCGACGGGUAUCCGGCCUGAGAGGGUGUACGGACACAUUGGGACUGAGAUACGGCCCAGACUCCUACGGGAGGCAGCAGUGGGGAAUAUUGCACAAUGGGCGCAAGCCUGAUGCAGCGACGCCGCGUGGGGGAUGAAGGCCUUCGGGUUGUAAACUCCUUUCGCUAUCGACGAAGCCACUUGUGGUGACGGUAGGUAGAUAAGAAGCACCGGCCAACUACGUGCCAGCAGCCGCGGUAAUACGUAGGGUGCAAGCGUUGUCCGGAAUUACUGGGCGUAAAGAGCUCGUAGGUGGUUUGUCGCGUCGUCUGUGAAAUCCCGGGGCUUAACUUCGGGCGUGCAGGCGAUACGGGCAUAACUUGAGUGCUGUAGGGGAGACUGGAAUUCCUGGUGUAGCGGUGAAAUGCGCAGAUAUCAGGAGGAACACCGAUGGCGAAGGCAGGUCUCUGGGCAGUUACUGACGCUGAGGAGCGAAAGCAUGGGUAGCGAACAGGAUUAGAUACCCUGGUAGUCCAUGCCGUAAACGGUGGGCGCUAGGUGUAGGGGGCUUCCACGUCUUCUGUGCCGUAGCUAACGCAUUAAGCGCCCCGCCUGGGGAGUACGGCCGCAAGGCUAAAACUCAAAGGAAUUGACGG
rnacentral:rRNA from 1 species